rnacentral:hammerhead_ribozyme from 1 species
AUCCAGCUGACGAGUUUCAAAUAGGACGUAACGCAUUUCCUAGAU